GAUCCAGAUAGUUUAAUUAGAAUAAUAAUUUGUGGUAUUUUAGGUGAAGUAUAAUUUCUCUGGGUC
rnacentral:tRNA from 1 species